GAAGAAUAGCGCUCGUGUUAGUAGCAUGGUGGGGUUCAGGAAACAUGUUGAGGGGUUAGAGCAAUUCGAUUUUACUCACAAGCGUUAAAUUACUUUUUUUUUAAAUAUUAAAUGAAUCUAGAUGCUCUUGACAGCUACUUAGCUUGUUUAGGCCUCUAUUUUAAGCUCCUUUUUUCCACAAUGUUUCGUUCAGCAACUUUAGCUGAAACGGUGAACACGUGGAGAGGCUCGAAGGUCCGCUAGGCCUCCUGAACAAAAUGGGUUCCAGUGAACUGAGCUCGUGGCCUCACAUGGUCGAGCUGCUGUUUCCAGGCAUCUACCACAAGAACUAAAAGGGUUUGUCUUUGAGUGUUUUAUUAUUCAAUGCUUUUAGUUUCACAAUAAAAAAAGUUGUGGAAUAAA